rnacentral:rRNA from 1 species
GCAUAAUCAAUAGUCAUUUAAUUAAUGAAUUGUAUGAAUGGAUAAACGAAAUGUCAACUUUAUUACCUUUAAAAGAAAAAUUAAAAUUUUGGUGAAUAUUCCAAAAUAAAAUUGAAAGACAAGAAGACCCUGUCGAACUUCACUGAAACUUUUUAAUAAUUAAAAAAUAAAGUUUAGUUGGGGCGACUAGAGAAUACCUAAAAUUUCUCUAUAAAAAUAAGAUUAACAAAUCUAAUAAUGAUCCCAAAUUUUGGAACCAGAAACUAGUUACCGCAGGGAUAACAGGCCAAUUCCUCUCGAGAGCCCAAAUUGACAGAGGAGA